rfam:Stegodyphus mimosarum contig8693, whole genome shotgun sequence.
AAAAAGGCCCUUUUUAGGGCCAGUAUAAGUUAUAGAAAAGAAUGUU